UUUCAUCGUGAGCCCUUCUUGAGACUGGUUUUCACGCAGUCCUGGCAGUGAGGGGAGAAGGUCAGGAAGGGGACAGUGGUCUCAGGAGGAGCGUGUGCACAAGUCUGGGUCUCCCCCACGUCCUGCUGGUGCUGUUGGGGUCCACGGAGCUUCCUUACCAGGAACAGACGGGUCCCUGGCCAGAAGGUGGCGUUUAAAUUAGCCUCCACAGCUUGAGCUACCUGGGGAGAGGAGAGAAAAAAUUAAAUGGCUGGCGACUGUAUUUCCCUCGUCGUCGUCGUUGUGGUUUCUUUUGUUUUGACAAUGACUCAGCAAUUUAGGUGCUGACAUCAUCUCAACUGUUGAAUUUAAUUACUCUGGAGAUCUUCUUGCAACGGGAGACAAGGGCGGCAGAGUUGUUAUUUUUCAGCGGGAACAAGAGAACAAAAGUCGCCCUCACUCUAGGGGAGAAUAUAAUGUUUACAGUACCUUUCAAAGUCAUGAACCAGAGUUUGACUAUUUGAAAAGUCUAGAAAUUGAGGAAAAAAUUAAUAAAAUUAGGUGGUUACCACAACAGAAUGCUGCUCAUUUUCUACUCUCUACAAAUGAUAAAACUAUUAAGUUAUGGAAAAUAAGCGAACGGGACAAAAGAGCAGAAGGUUAUAACUUGAAAGAGGAAGACGGACGGCUUCGAGACCCAUUUCGAAUCACAGCACUGCGGGUACACGCUGCCUUUCCUCAAACUACCCAGUUCUCUUUAGUUAAUCGGGGACGGUGCGUAAGUCAGCUGUGUAGAGAAGACCGCUGAGUAGGACUGCUGUGACAUCUGCCCUCUCGGUUCAUGGAAGCUGUUUGUAAUUGUAGUCAUCAGUGUAUCUGUGUGUUAGAAUUGGGAUUCUUCAUCUUUCACAUAAGCAGGAAGUUACACAGUAACUUCAGAAAAUCUAAUGAUACUAAAGACUCAGGUCUAAUCCUA